ensembl:lncRNA
GGCGCAGCGCCGCCCCGCGGCAGCCUCCGAGCGCCACGGACUUCGCCCUGUGCGCCAUCCUGAGCGGCCCCCGGCCCCCGCGCGCACCCGGGGCCGCUCGGGUGCACCCGCCGAUCCGCGCGAGUCCCCGCGCACCUGCCCCGAGACCGGGGCUCUUCGCCGCUCGUCUAAACCACCACGCGGUGCGACUCCCGACUUGCCCGUGUAGCCCGCUGAAGCGUGAGGUCCCCGCUGGCCUCGCCACGACCCUGCGCGCGCCCCGCUGGGGCCUGAUUAGCGUGCGGCCACGCAGACAGCAGGAAAUAGAAAGUCUCAGGAAACCAUUGCCGAGGGCGGGCCACGGCGGUAUGCCGAAUUACAUCUACAUGGCUAACAGUCAACAGUUAUGGCGCGACGAAGUGACCCAGGGACUUCCUUCCUUCGCCUGGACUCCAUGAGGAACUGGAACUUUGGUACCAGCAGUGACCCCUUGCAUCCAUCAGGCUCCUCGGGGAGUACAGACUAACUUGGAUGCCUCAGGCAUGACCUGCAACCAAGACUGGAGAAGACAUUAUUUAAGAAACUGUCUCCAAC